AAACUACUCAGGUUCAUAGACAGGGAGAAAAUUCUCAGGAGGACCAAGUGCCUGAAGGGAACUAAAAUCUUCAUCAAUAAAGACUUCUCCAGAAAACGUACGCCUCAAAAAAUAGGAACUGCUGCCAUGACUAAUUUAACCUGUUAGGGCUAGGGGGCAGUAUUUACACGGCCGGAUAAAAAAUGUACCCGAUUUAAUCUGGUUAUUACUACUGCCCAGUAUAACAGAACUCAUAUGGCAGGCAAAAACCUGAGAAGAUUCCUUACAGGAAGUGGCCUGUCUGACAAGUUCUUGUUCUUCUUGACUCUCUUUAUUGAAAACUGAGGAUCUUUGCUGUAACGUGACACUUCCUACGGCUCCCAUAGGCUCUCAGAACCCGGGAAAAAGCUGAAUGAUGUAAUUCCAGACCCUGGCUGAAAAACAUUAGCGCCUUUGAAUGGAUUUCUUGACAAAUAUAUAUUUAUGGAUUAAGAGAGAACACUUCAAAAGGAGUCGUGGAGCAGAGGUGAAGGUGGUUGAGGUGGAGGUGGAGGAGUUCAUCAAAAGCUCCAUCAGUGACCAUGAUGGGUCAUAUGUCUGCAAAAGUCAGAAUACACAACCCUUUCAUUUUUACUGUGAACAACACAAGGCACGAGGAAAGUCGACAGGGCAGCCACAGGACACCAGGACAAACAGCUGUAAGGACUACAGUGCUUUUGGAAAGUAUUCAGACCCCUUGACUUUUUCCACUUUUUGUUACGUUACAGCCUUAUUCUAAAAUGGAUUAAAUAAAUAAAAAAUCCUCAGCAAUCUACACACAAUGCCCCAUAAUGACAAAGCGAAAACUGGUUUUUAGACAUUUUUUAAAAUGUUUAAAAAAUAAAAAAUGCCUUAUUUACAAAAGUAUUCAGCAC
rnacentral:lncRNA from 1 species